rnacentral:rRNA from 1 species
UACGGAGGGUGCAAGCAUUAAUCGGAAUUAUUGGGCGUAAAGGGCGCGUAGGCGGAUAUAUAAGUCAGAUGUGAAAUUCCGAGGCUCGACUUCGGAGCCGCAUUUGAAACUAUAAAUCUCGAGGAUUGGCGGAGAGAACGGAAUUCCACGUGUAGCGGUGAAAUGCGUAGAUAUGUGGAAGAACACCGGUGGCGAAGGCGGCUUUCUGGACGGAUACUGACGCUGAGACGCGAAAGCGUGGGGAGCAAACAGG